AUGGACAGACACAGAUGGUAUUGGUGGAGGUGGAGGUCAAAAGGCUACCAUAGCAACCCCUCCAUUCAAUCUGACAGGUGAUGAAGGGUGGCUGACAUUCUGGUAUCACUUAUAUGGGGAUGGAAAACUCGAGGUCAGUGUGUGUCAGGAUGGAGAGACAGUUCUCAUCCUUUCUGGAGAUCAAGGAAACGAAUGGCAUGAACAGAACACCACAGUGUCAUGUGGAGAUAAUCCAGUUCAGAUUACUUUCACGUCAACUAGAAGUUCAACAUUGAGUGAUGUGGGUGUUGAUGAUCUCUAUCUCUACCACCAU